rnacentral:rRNA from 1 species
AGAGUUUGAUCCUGGCUCAGAGCGAACGCUGGCGGCGCGCUUAAGCCAUGCAAGUCGAACGCGGUCCCGGUCUGUGCUUGCACAAACCGGGAUGCGGCGUGGCAAACGGGUGAGUAACACGUGGAUAAUUUACCCUCGGGUGGGGGACAACCCGCCGAAAGGCGGAGUAAUCCCGCAUAAUAUCCCAGCACAUAAGUGUUAGGGUCAAAGAGAGCCUCUUCCGACUUGUCGGGAAGCUCUUGCCGGAGGAGAAGUCCGCGUCCUAUCAGGUUGUUGGUAGGGUAAUAGCCUACCAAGCCUCCGACGGGUAGCCGAUGUGAGAGCAUGGUCGGCCACACUGGGACUGAGACACGGCCCAGACUCCUACGGGAGGCAGCAGGCGGGAAUUGUGGACAAUGGGCGCAAGCCUGAUCCCGCGACGCCGCGUGGGGGAAGAAGGCCCUUGGGUCGUAAACCCCUGUUAGGGAGGAAGAAGUCCCGCUGGGUGAAUAACCCUGCGGGAUUGACGGUACUCCCAGAGAAAGCUCCGGCUAACUACGUGCCAGCAGCCGCGGUAACACGUAGGGGGCGAGCGUUGCUCGGAUUUACUGGGCGUAAAGGGGGCGUAGGCGGCCCUACAAGUCGGCGGUGAAAUCCUUCUGCUUAACGGAAGAAUUGCCUCCGAAACUGUAGGGCUUGAGGGCAGGAGAGGGAGGCGGAAUUCCCGGUGUAGCGGUGAAAUGCGUAGAUCUCGGGAGGAACACCAGAGGCGAAGGCGGCUUCCUGGACUGUCCCUGACGCUGAGGCCCGAAAGCCAGGGGAGCAAACGGGAUUAGAUACCCUGGUAGUCCUGGCCCUAAACGAUGGGCACCAGACAUUGGGAGGUUUUAUCCUUUCUGUGUCGUAGCUAACGCGUUAAGUGCCCCGCCUGGGGAGUACGGUCGCAAGGCCGAAACUCAAAGGAAUUGACGG